GCUUCCUUCAGCAAGUCAAACACCUUCUCUGCGAUAUAUUUUUGUUCAAGAUUGGCACCUUUUUGUUGUACUUUAUCAGGAUGGAUGCAUAAAGUUGCCUUCCUAUAAGCUUUCUUAACAGCAGCUGCAGUAAUCAAAUCAGUCAACGAAACAGGCUGCCAACCGCAUUCAGGCCACAGCACAUAUUGCAUUGUCGAUAGCAGAGCACGUAGAUUCCCCUCUUUCCCCGCAGCCCAACGCUUGAUCUCAACAUCAAGUGUUUCAGAAAUCCUAUGUCUCUCUGCUUGUUCUCUCUGAACUUGAAGAUCCCGUUGAUUCUUCUCAGCCAGUGCUUUUGCCGCACGCUCUUGAGUCCUUUGGUGACGUUCCAACCUAGCCCUUCGCCUCUCUUCAGUUUCCCCUUCAACCUCUGGGAACUCUCCAGAUGUUCCAGUAGCUCCAAAAAUUGAAGAUAGAUCAUCAACAAUGUUUGCAGUUGAAGAUGCUUUCUUCAUGCUAGAUGUAGCUACAACAGAUGUCCUUCUGGCAGCUUCAGACCCUCCCUUAUUCUGGGUAUCAAAGAAAGGAUCCGAAGAAGUAGCCCUAGGCCUUGGAGCACUGCUUGCUUGAGAACUGAAAGAAUGAUUCAAGAUCAUUUUCAUUCCUCUGUUGGUUUGCUCUAGCGGCAGCAGCUGCCCUUUCUCGAGCAUCUGCAGCAGCCCU
rnacentral:misc_RNA from 1 species